AACGAACGCUGGCGGCGUGGAUAAGACAUGCAAGUCGGACGAGAUUUUCCGUUGUAGCAAUACGAUGGAAAGUCUAGUGGCGAACGGGUGCUUAACACGUGGGCAACCUGCCGAGAAGUGGGGGAUAGCUCGCCGAAAGGCGAAUUAAUACCGCACGUGAUCAGGAGAGACAUCUCUUCGAAAUUAAAGUCGGGGCAACCUGACGCUUCUUGUGGGGCCCGCGGCCUAUCAGCUAGUUGGUGAGGUAACGGCUCACCAAGGCUUUGACGGGUAGCUGGUCUGAGAGGACGACCAGCCACACUGGGACUGAGACACGGCCCAGACACCUACGGGUGGCAGCAGUCGAGAAUUUUUGACAAUGCGGGAAACCCUGAUCGAGCGACGCCGCGUGGAGGAUGAAGGUCUUCGGAUUGUAAACUCCUGUCAUUGGGGAACAAUGCGUGACGGUUAACUGCCGUCGCGUUGAUAGUACCCGAAGAGGAAGAGACGGCUAACUCUGUGCCAGCCGCCGCAGUAAAAC
rnacentral:rRNA from 1 species